AUGAUUUUGUCACCGGAGGAUGUAUCUUUGAUGCUUCUGAGUAUGAAACGCAAUUUUGGGCCAUAUACUUUUUUAUAUUUGUCUGCCUACCGGCUUCUGGACAAACCUUGCUAAUUGCAAUAUGGGGGGCCGCCACAAAGACAACAAUAACUAUUAUCUUGGUCGCAAUCACAAGAUGUACCAGUAUGCCCUUGUCCACAUUUAUAGCACCUUGGUUUAGAUCUGCAUGUAUCUUUAGUGUGUCCAUACCGGCAACAAUUGUAGCAUUGAAUUGAUGGAUAAAUGUAUAGUUCUACUUUGAGGGAAUUAAAACACAUAAAUACUCUUGUGGGAAGGACCUGACCAUCAAAAACAUGUCCACCGGUACACCUCUUACGAGCCCCAUCCUGGUAACAUUAAAAGAUGGAAUAAAAGCUUCAUAACCUUUUUCCAAUAAGGCAUGAUGUUUUAAGAAAGAAUUUGCAGCUGAGUGACUUGUGAAUGCCAUUGAAAUUUUGUUGCGACCGAUACGCUUCAAACUGCCUUGUACUAUGUUUGGCACCUGGUUUUUAUACAAAAAUCUGCCAAAAGCAUAUUGGAUGCAAAUUAAGAUCCUGUGUUACCUCUCCCGUACUAGACCCAGCAACAUGAAUAAUAAAUGGUGAAGCAUCCAAUGCAGUAUAUUCUUUUCUAAUACUAUCAGAUAUAUUGGGAGGUAACUGGGAGGCCUGAGAUGGAAGAACUUGUGUAUGCGGUGCUAUAAGAGGUGAUGGAUUUUCAGUGAUUUUUUCGUCACUGUCUUCACAACGACAUCCACUUCUACCUGAAUCUACAGCCAUUGCAUUUUUGCGUUUUUUUUUUAUUACAUGUUUUGCACACCUUAUUUAAUCGUA